CAGAGCAGCGUGGGAGGGAGGAGGAGGCAGUUAGAAGGGGGCUGGAGAGGCAGCACCUAACUCACAACAGCCUCAGGCACCACACUGAACCCCACUGACUAGCUGUCAGUGUAUGUGUCUCUGUGUGUGUCAGUAUGUCUGUGUGUGUCACAAUGUCUGUCAGUGUGUAUGUCUGUGGUGUCAGUAUUUGUGUCAAUAUGUCUAUCAGUAUAUGCG